GACGAACGCUGGCGGCGUGCCUAACACAUGCAAGUCGAACGGAACUGUUUUGAAAGAUUUCUUCGGAAUGAAUUUGAUUUAGUUUAGUGGCGGACGGGUGAGUAACGCGUGAGUAACCUGCCUUCAAGAGGGGAAUAACAUUCUGAAAAGAAUGCUAAUACCGCAUGACAUAUCGGAACCACAUGGUUUUGAUAUCAAAGAUUUUAUCGCUUGAAGAUGGACUCGCGUCCGAUUAGUUAGUUGGUGAGAUAACGGCUCACCAAGACCGCGAUCGGUAGCCGGACUGAGAGGUUGAACGGCCACAUUGGGACUGAGACACGGCCCAGACUCCUACGGGAGGCAGCAGUGGGGGAUAUUGCGCAAUGGGGGCAACCCUGACGCAGCAACGCCGCGUGAAGGAUGAAGGUUUUCGGAUUGUAAACUUCUUUUAUUAAGGACGAAAAAUGACGGUACUUAAUGAAUAAGCUCCGGCUAACUACGUG
rnacentral:rRNA from 1 species